rnacentral:lncRNA from 1 species
UAUUCAAAAAGGUGCGUUAAAGCAAAAUGAUACAAGUAGUGCGACAAGCAAAAAGUAGGAUUGUUUGACAUGUCCCUUCCAAGGGCAAGCUGAGGAAUAGUAUUAAAGCAAAUAUUUCACUCGUUAUCGUAAUCCACCUGGGAGUUCCGUGGUGUGAUGUAGCUUUAUGCCUCCUUGGAUGCUGCAUCAUGUGUUCGGCAAUCACACUGCCGGACAGGGUUUCCAGAGAUUGAAGUCCUGAAAGAGAAAAAUAACAAAGCGGGAAGCCCCUAGUGUGGUUUAAGCCAAGACUUGGGGCGUGCCACCAUCGUGCCCCCUCUCCGCCUGUGCCCAUGGUAUUUUUAAUGCGUAAUUAUGUACGCGUGGCACGGAUUUUGCCGUUUGGCUGGGACCGGGGUGGGGGCCGCAUUGCUAUGCGAGCUCGGAACGUGCCAGGCGGUCUUGUUGCCGAUUACUCUAGGCGCGCUUCAAGGAGUCCGGGUCCUUAAUCGCCGAACUAGUGGAUUGCCUUAAGAGGCUGCUUUGCACUUCUGCUGCGAGGGCCGCAGUGUGCUCCUCCAUGCGGAGAGAGCGCUCUGUGUUUCCAUUGACUGUGAUGACCCCCCGAGGUCCUGGCAUCUUGAGCUUGAGAUAUGCAUAAUGUGGUACCGCGUUGAAUCUUGCAAAUGCGGUUCGCCCUAGCAGUGCAUGAUAGCCACUGCGGAACGGGACUAUGUCGAAGAUUAACUCUUCGCUUAGGAAGUUAUCCGGAGAUCCAAAGACCACUUCCAGUGUUACUGAGCUUGUGCAAUGGGCCUCUACACCUGGUAUGACGCCUUUAAAGGUCGUUUUGGUGGGUUUGAUCCUUGAGGGGUCUUUACCCAUUUUACGCAUUGUGUCCUGAUAAAGCAGGUUCAGGCUGCUGCCGUCGUCCAUUAGGACUCGAGUGAGGUGAAAUCCGUUAAUAAUUGGGUCGAGGACCAAUGCGGCGAAUCCGCCAUGACGGAUACUAGUGGGGUGGUCCCUGCGGUCGGAGGUGAUCGGAUAGGAAGACGAUGGGUUGAACUUUGGUGCGACUGGCUCUAACGCAUAUACGUCCCUGAGUGCAUGCUUCCGCUCCCUCUUGGGGAUGUGGGUUGCGUAUAUCAUGUUCACCGUCCGCACUUGUGGGGGGAACCUCUUCUGUCCUCCGGUGUUCGGCUGCCAGGGCUCCUCCUCGUCAUCGCUAUGUGACCCCUUAUCUUUUUUUCGGCAUUUAGCUUGCCGGCCUGCUUGAACACCCAACAAUCCCUGUUGGUGUGAUUGGCUGGCUUGUCGGGGGUGCCGUGUAUUUGACACGAGCGAUCGAGUAUACGGUCCAAACUGGACGGGCCCGAAGUGCUUCUCUUGAAUGGAUUUUUCCGUUGACCGAGUUUAGAGCCUUUGAAUCCGGCAUUGGCUGCCGUAACCUCGGUAUUGUCGCUGUUAAUGCGGCAGUUAUGUUUGUUGCGACGUGACCUGCCAUUGCCGUCCUUGGUAUCCGAAGUAGCAUGGUUCUUUGAUAUGUUAUUACUGCGAGCCAGCCAGCUGUCUUCUCCCGCACAAAAGUAGGUCAUGAGUGUCGUGAGGGCUGCCAUAGAUUUCGGCUUUUCCUGACCAAGGUGCCGGGCUAGCCACUCGUCGCGGAUGUUGUGCUUGAAGGCUGCUAGGGCCUCUGCAUCCGGACAGUCGACGAUUUGAUUUUUCUUUGUGAGGAACCGUGUCCAGAAUUGCCUGGCCGAUUCCUCUGGCUGCUGAAUUAUGUGGCUCAAGUCAUCGACAUCUGGUGGUCGCAUAUAAGUGCCCUGAAAGUUGUCGAGGAAUGCGGCUUCUAGAUCUUCCCAACAGCCAAUGGACUCUGCUGGCAAGCUAUUGAGCCAAUGCCGAGAUGGUCCUUUGAGUUUGAGUGGGAGGUAUUUGAUGGCGUGCAGGUCAUCACCGCGGGCCAUGUGGAUGUGUAGGAGGAAAUCCUCGAUCCAUACCGCAGGAUCUGUCAUGCCGUCGUAUGAUUCUAUAUUUACGGGUUUGAAACCCUCUGGGAUUUGAUGAUCCAUUACUUCAUCUGUGAAGCAUAAGGGGUGUGCGGCGCCUCUGUACUGGGCUAUGUCGCGACGCAGCUCGAAUGAGUCUUGCCCGCUGUGUUCGGCCCGGCCGGACUUACUUUUACUGUAUCUGGCGUGACGAUUAUCCGCAUAGUGGCGCGCCCUCGUGAUUCGUAGAUCGAUCUUGCAUGUUUUGCUUUGUCCUCCAAUACGUCUCGCAGGUCUGGCAUAUUUCCCCCUGACUUUUUAUUUGAAUGACGUCAGGGUGCGGGCUGAGCUUUUGGCUGGAAUGUCUCUCUGUCGCGGCCACGAGGUGGCCGAUCAGCCGCGUCAUACGCUGGGGAUGUAGGUUUUGGUGCUUCCUCCUCCAGUUGGGGUAGCAACCUAUAUUUUGGGUAACUCUUGGAGGGGCGUUCGAGUUUAUACUCUUCGGCCGCCAGGACUUCAGUCCAUCUGUCAGCUAGCAGAUCUUGAUCAGCUUGAAGCUGCUGCUGCUUUUUCUUAAGGCUAUUUGCCGUGGCUAUAAGCCUGCGCUUGAAGCGCUCUUGUUCGAUGGGAUCCUCUGGCAUGGAGAAUUCGUCAUUGCCAAGGCUUGCCUCAUCUUUGGAGGGGGGGCAUGUAAUUAUCAUCCUCCGCCUCUCCAUCUGCCGCUCUCUCAGGAGGGCUGGCUCCUCCAUCCUCCUGCUCUAAAUCGUGCCGGAGGGGAUUGUUGUUGUCUUCAGCACUGUCCGGAGUGCUAUUAUCUCCGGUGCCGGUAUCACCACUUUUGCCUUGGCGGGACAUAGAGCGGCGCCGCUAACGCCGGCGCUUGGGUUGCUUCUUGGAGGGGUCAUCCUCCAUUGUCUCAUCGCCAUUGCCUUCUCUGGGUGUGUCCACCAUGUAUAUAUCGUAUGAUGAGGUGGCUGUCCAGUGCCCUGUGGGCAGUGGUUCCUCUUCGACUCCCGCAUCAUUGUCCAUACCGUCGAUGUCUUCGGAGUCGAAGUCGAGCAUGUCGGUUAAGUCAUCGACAGUGGCUACUAAGUGGGUGGUGGGUGGGCGGCGAAUUUCUUCGUCAUCCGCAUCCCAAUCCUGCCGGAUGUAGUUCGGCCAGGAUCCUUCUGACAAUGGAAGAGACCUUAAUGAGUUCAGUAUGUCGCUGAAGGGCGAGUGCUGAAAAAUAUCCGCGGAGGUAAACUCCAUGAUCGGCGCCCAAUUGGAUUUGAUAGGAACGGGCACAGGCGGUUCAGAGUCCGUGGCCGGAGAAGGAUCCGGCAGUUUGGCAACACUGCUCUCGUGAAGGGUAAGGUCGAUAUUCGGCUUGAUCGCCGCAGAGGGUCGGCCUCCAUGACGGGGUCUAUCCACCUGUCCAUGGAUGGCGAAAUUGGCUCCGAAUUGAGGGUCGGAGCGGCUGCCGGUGCGAUCUCCUGAAUACGGUCUGAUGGUAGAGCUAAAUCGUACUCAUCGUGACCGCGUGGCGCACAAGGCAGGGGCUCGAAUCCGUCGAAGAUCAAGUCUCCGCGGAUAUCGGCUGUGUAGUUUAAGUUUCCAAACCUGACCUGGUGGCCAGGGGCGUAACUUUCGAUCUGCUCCAGAUGGCCAAGCGAGUUGGCCCGUAGUGCGAAGCCGAUGAACACAAAGAUCUGUCCGGGGAGAAAAUUCUCACCCUGGACUACAUCGGUGUCAAUGAUCGUAGGAGCCAUCAAGCCUAACGGCGACGACACAGAGGAACUCUCAGUGAAAGCACCAAUGUCAGUGUCAAAACCGGCAGAUCUCGGGUAGCGGGUCCCGAACUGUGCGUCUAAGGCGGAUGGUAACAGGAGGCAGGGGACACGAUGUUUUACCCAGGUUUGGGCCCUCUUGAUGGAGGUAAAACCCUACGUCCUGCUUGAUUUAUUCUUGAUGAUAUAAGUGUUACAAGAGUUGAUCUACCACGAGAUCGGAGAGGCUAAACCCUAGAAGCUAGCCUAUGGUAUGAUUGUAUGUUGUCCUACGGACUAAAACCCUCCGGUUUAUAUAGACACCGGAGGGGGCUAGGGUUACACAAGGUCGGUUACAAAGGAGGAGAUAUACAUAUCCGUAUUUCCUAGCUUGCCUUCCACGCCAAGUAGAGUCCCAUCCGGACACGAGACGAAGUCUUCAAUCUUAUAUCUUCAUAGUCCAAUAGUCCGGCCAAAGGAUAUAGUUCGGCUGUCCGGAGACCCCCUAAUCCAGGACUCCCUCAGGGGUUGUAACGUCAAACGGGGCGUUGACCAUCUCAGUAGUGGUCGUGAGCGUAUCUGGGGUCGGCUCGGUGGUUGCCUCCAUCUUCUUGGAGCUCUCUGUCUCGUGGGGAUCAGCCUCCCGCGUCUGCUCCAAUAUCGGCAGAUCUUUGCCUGGUUCUCCUUGGUCCAUCAUGAAACUAACGAAUACUAGGAGACCACUGAAAGGAAAACACAAUCGCAACGAUAAUGAAACAAAAAAGAGAGUGAGGAUCGGUUACUACUUUGCAAAAGUUCUUUUUUUCUCUUAACGAAAAUAUACCAACAUCACAGAUCCACUUACCUUCCCUUUGUUCGGAGAGAAGAACAGUGGCAGAUUGGAGUGUUGCCUUUCUUGAAGAUAGUGAGGGAGAAGGGGAUUCAGCGAAGAGUGAAAUGAUGGUUGCUUCGUCCGUCAAACUUAGACUGCGGGGAGGUGGGGUUUGGUGAUACGAUGGCUCGUUACUGUCGCGCUACGACCGGAGUGACUCUCCACCUGCAUACUGCCUUCUAAUUUGGUGGAUGUCAUUUGGGCCCGCACGCUGCAUGGCCCGCAUGUCGGUGAACAAAAGUAUAACAGCAUUCAGUAGAGGGAGACAUUUCAAUGACCUAGGAGGAGCCAGAAGUGGUAGAGUGUCUCCACUGUACUAGUAGUAAUUGUUUUUCUGGGUAGCUGUAGAGUGUCUCCACUAUACUAAUAGUAAUUGUUUCACUGGGCCCAAGACAAAACAGCCCAUGCACACUAGUAAAUAGUAAAAUCAAUUCAAAAGCCCAUAUAUUUAUUGAAUUGACGGAUGGGUAUGACGAAGAGCGAAAAAGGAGCUUCAGGUGGGCAAAAGAGCUUCUGAACAUGCCGGGCUUCUAUUUACAACAUAUUGUGGUCAUAAUCCAGUAAAUUUUACGACCCAGGAUGUUCAUUCUAUGGACUUGACCGAUCCAUUUGACUGUGAUUGCCGAAAACAGUGUUGGAGUUAGAUGUUGUUUCCCUUUUCAAUCUGGUUUUUUUGUAAACCUGAUGAACAAUUAACCCUCGUGCUUUUGUACAGUUUGUAAGCUGGAGUUAGAUGUUCCUGCCCUUUUCAACUUGGUUGUGACUGUCAUAUUUUCUUUGAAACAAGGCAAAUGGCUUGCCAUUCGUUUAAUUUAGAGUGAAAUAUUGUAACAAAUCCCAACCAAGGGAAAUAACAUCACUCUCGUUGGCUGCUUGAGCUCACUGUGCAUUACAGAAGCCAAGUGAUUAGCCCCCACCAGCACCCACAAACUUAUUUCGAACUAGCACAUCAAAUGGGCUGUAAAUUUUCAUAGAAAAGGCUGCAUGACCGUGACAGAUUUGGAUUCUGACAUUUGGGACCCGCGAGGAAAUAGCCUAUCGAAGGUGGUGUCAACUUACUAGCAAGUCAACAAACGAUUCUGCCUACCAGUCAUUGGAUUGACAUCCAACAUCUAUCAUGUAUCUUUUAUCUCUUGUCUUCUUCUUCCUCCAGCCACCCAAACCAAACCAACCCGUCGGCUCCGCCUGCUCCCGCCUCACAUGGCUGGUUGCGCCUCUGCCGCCCUACCGUACGUACCCUCCAACGUUGGCCAGUCCCUCCCUCUAUUCCCCCACACGUCCUGUUAUUCUCUGGCGACGUCAGCCCCAACAUGCACCCGCGCCCAAACCAGUCAACCCUCGUACUCCCCUCCGCCUGUGACUGGACUGACGCAUCUUCAACGGCUCCUGUUCGUUCCGUCUGAGGUCUUGCCGUCGUCCUCCGCCUUGCGGCCUUGGUUCGCUCGCCGUGCACGGUGCGCCGCCCUCUUGCGUUGUCAAUGUCGUCAACAACCAAGAGGAACAAGGAGAUGACUGUACGUGGAGAGGAUGACAGUAGGGACCCACCAGCGUCAUGGCAGUACACAAGCAAGUGCCUCUAUGGUACAAGCCCAAAAAUAUGGUUCCUCCUAAUGGUUGGACAUCUGGGGCUCACGCCAUUGUCAACGUAGUCAAUAAACGAGAGAAUUACACUACGAGCGGCUGACACCAGGGACCCAGCAAGUCACGCAGUUUUUUUUGAGGAACAAGCAGUUGUUAUUUAUACUAGUUUUAGCGACGGAUCAGGGUAACAACAGGGCUGUGCGGGGGCUGUGGACCGUCUAGCCAGGGUUUUAUUUAUGUUUACCACAUCAUGAGCCCAGUUGUGUUUUUUUCUUGCUGAAAAUGCCUAGCCCAGUUCUAUUUUUUUAAGAAAUACCCAAACAAGGCCUACUUGCUUUAUCGGCCCUGCUGGGCUGCAAAUCUUUCAAGACGAGGAGAGUUUCAUUCGGUUUGCCCAGAAAUGGGAUGUACAUUUAUAAAACACAUCAAACCGGGAAUUAGUUUCUAUUUUUUCAUUACAAGAUCUUAAAUUCCAUUGAUUUUUAUGCGUGGACCAUUAUUUGGAUUUUAUAUUUAUAUAAAUUAUUUUUCAAAAUAGUUUGAAUGUGAAUCGAUAUUUCUGGAUUAAAAACAGUUGACCGCACCGAAAUAUGCAAAAUUUUGUAUACUUUUUAACCGUGGCCACAAUAUGGGGUGUAAUGCUAACAAAAAGAAGAUGGGCUCCAAAAAAAUUCUUAUGAAUUAGCAAAUGGGUUGUACAUUAUUAGAAAUAAUCGCAGAUGGGUUGUAUGCUGUUUUCCACAGAUUUGAGGCUGACAUGUGCGCCUACUACAGGUUGACGUGUAUGCUUUCAUAAAAAAAAGGUUGGCGCACAGGCAACACCCUGUCAACUUAGUCAGCACACGAGAGUAGUGACUGUUGGAUGUCCAUCCAACGGUUGUCGUGCUUCUUCAAUCUUUGCUCUUCAUGCUCCAGCCGCUCAAACAAGCGCCAGCGGGACUGUCUGCUCCCUCCUCCCGCGGCCGGCUAUGCUGCCGCGCAGGCCUCACGGCCCCACCGUAUCCCCAUCGCUGGCCUAGCCAUCCCUCUACUCACCCACACAUGAUGUUAUUCUCCAGCGAUGGCAGAUGAACCAGUAAACCCUCGUACUCCUCCGCGUGGGAAACAACUGCCGAGUAUUCCCUUGCUCCGUGUCGUUCCCUUCCUAGGCCUCGCCGUCUUCCACUGCCCUGGUGCUCUCGGCGCGGCCUGGUCAACGUGGUCAACGAACAACAUCCAUCAGAAGUGGACUGUACGUGGAGAGGCUGACAGCUGGGUCCACGGCCGCACGCAAGGAAAUGCCUCCUUAUUACGCGCAAAAUAAUGAUUCCUCCACCUGGCAGCUUGGACCCACAGGAAGGACCUCUGUAUCUUGCAAAAAAAAGUUCCCCCCACUGACAGGCCGGACCCACCAGCUAUAUCUUCGCGCGCGAGGAAGUGACUCCUUAUUACGCCCAAAAAAGUGAAUACCCCCUGCUAGCUGAGACCCACCAUAUUGUUGGGCUGACUUGUGGGCCUACUUAGUUGACGGGGACGGAGGGCUUUGUCAACUUAGUCAAUAAUCCAGUGAUCGUAUGAUGUCCAUCCAACGGCCAUAGUGCUUCUUCAACCUCUGGUCUUCUUGCUCUAGCCGCCCAAAGCAGCGCCGGUUGUGCCGCCUGCUCCUGCCUCCCGUGGCCGACUGUGCUACCGCGGAGGCUCACCGCCCCCAUACUACUCCCACCACUGGCCAGGCCAUCCCUCCACUCACCCACACCCCCUGUUAUUCUGCUGCGAUGGCAGUCUCACACCGCAGCCGAACCAGUGAACGCCCGUACUCCUCUCCGCGUGGGCAUCCACUGUCGCGUCUUGCCCGGCUCCGCGUCGUCCCCUUCCUUGGCCUCGUCGUCGUCCACCAUUGUGGUGCUCUCGGCGCGGCGUGGUCAAUUUGGUCAACGACCGACUUCCAUCGGAAGAGUACUGUACGUGGAGAGGCUGACAACUGAGUCCAUGGUAGCCGCAAGGAAGUGCCUCCUUAUUACGCGGAAAAUAAUUAUUCCUCUACCUGACAUCGGGGACCCACCGGACGGGCCACCAAUAUUUUGCAAAAAAAAUCGUUUCCCCUGACUGCUGGGACCCACCGGACAGGCCACCAUAUUUCACGAAAAAACAUUCCCCCCGCUGUUAGCUCGGACCCACUGGAAGUGCCUCCUUAUUCCGCACAAAAAAAUGAAUACUCCCCUGGCUAGCCGGGACCCACCUUGGUGGGAGGCUGACUUGUGGGCCUACUAAGUUGACGGGGGCGAAGGCCUUUGUCAACUUAGUCAAUAUGAACGAUUCUAGCUCCAGUGACCAUACGAUGUCCAUCCAACGGCCGUAGUGCUUCUUCAACCUCUGGUCUUCUUGCUCCAGCCGCCUAAAGCAGCGCCAGUCGUGCCGCAUGCUUGUGCCUCCCAUGGCCGGCUGUGCUGCCGCAGAGGCCUCACCGCCCCCUACUAUUCCCACCACUGGCCAAGCCCUGCAGCGACGGCAGCCUCACACCGCAGCCGAACCAGUGAACCCUCGUACUCCUCCACGCGGGCUUCCACUGCCACGUCUUCCCCGGCUCCGCAUCGUCCCCUUCCGAGGCCUCGCCGUGGUCCACCGCCGUGGUGCUCUCCACGCAGCGUGGUCAACGUGGUCAAGGAACGACUUCCAUCAGAAGAGUAUUGUACGUGGAGAGGCUGACAGCUGGGUCCACGGCCACAGCCCAGUUUUUUUAUGAUUUGCCAAGUAAGUCGCUUUGUCAGGCCUGUUGGCCUGCAAAUCUUUCAAGAUGAGGAGAGCUUUCAUUUGGCUGGCCGAGAAAAUGGCCCAUCAGUAAUGAGAAAUGGGCUUUACAUUUUUAAAACCCAUCAAACCGACAAUUAGUUUCAAAUAUCUUUUUUUUUCAUUUCAAGAUUUUAAAUUACAUUAAUUUUUAUGCAUGGAGAAUUUGUUGGAUUUUAUAUUAAUAUACAUUUAUUUUUAAAAUCAGUUUGCAUGUUAGUUGAAAUUUCGGGAUUAAAAACAGUUCGGAACGCACCGAAAUAUGCAAAAUUUCAUAUAAUUUUUAACCGUGGCCACAAUAUGGGCUUUAAUGCUAACAAAAAGAAUAUGGGCUCCAAAAAAACCUUAAGAAUUAGCAAAUGGGCUGUAAAUUAUUAGAAAUAAUGGCAGAUGGGAUGUAUGUUGUUUUCCAAAGAUUUGAGGCUUUCCUAAAAAAAGGUUGACGCACAAGCACUGGCCGUUGCAUGUCCAUCCAACGGCUGUUGUGCUUCUUCAAUCUCUGCUCUUCCUGCUCCAGCCGCUCAAACAAGCGCCGGUGGGACUGCCUGCUCCCUUCUCCCCGUGGCCGGCUAUGCUGCCGCGCAGGCCUCACUGCCCCACCGUACUCCCAUCGCUGGCCUAGCCAUCCCUCUACUCACCCACACCUGUUGUUAUUCUCCGGUGACGGCAGACGAACCAGUUAACCCUCGUACAGUCGUACUCCCCUCCGCGUGGGAAACAACUGUCGGGUCUUCCCUGCCUCCAUGUCGUCCCCUUCCUAGGCCUCGCCGUCGUCCACCGCCGUGGUGCUCUCAGUGUGGCAUGGUCAAUGUGGUUAACGAUUGACUUCCAUCGGAAGAGUACUGUGCAUGGAGACGCUGACAGCUGGGUCCAUGGCCGCAGCAAGGAAGUGCCUCCUUAUUACGCGCAAAAUAAUUAUUCCUCCACCUGACAGCGGGGACCCACCAGACGGGCCAACAUAUUUCGUGAAAAAAAAACGUUUCCCCCUAACUGCUGGGACCCACUAGCUACACCUUCGCACGCAAGGAAGUGCGUCCGUGCAAAAAAACAAAACGAUUCACCCCCCUGACUGCUAGGACCCACCUGCUACAUCUUUGCACGCAAGGAAGUGCCUGACAGUCGGGACCCACCUGGUCGAAGCAUACGUAGCGUUGUCAUUCUGGUCGCGAAUGUGUACGUACAUAUAUACUGGUGGAUGUAGAGGCGUGCACGUGUCGUAGUAGAGGCGCGCACGUAGCAUGUACAUGUACGUACAGCGGCCAGGGUGCAAGAAAGAAAAUACGGCCACGUAUGUGUACAUACGGGCGGGGUCUCGAACGCCUACUCGCGCAUACAUACGGCGAGGGCUCGUUGACAUGGCUGGGUCAGCACGGAGAAACAGUGUCGUCGUCGUGUUCAUGGGGAGGCAACGGAAUGCGUCGUGUUCAUGGGGAGGCAACGAAACGCGUGGGAGCCAACCGGCUGGGUCGGAACGGAAUGCGUGGUCGUGUUCAUCGGGAGGGCUUGGAUGGAACAGGCGAUGGAAACGAGGCCUGGUGUACCGCAAAACGGAGGAAACGGCCUUGUGUUUGACCGGCCACGUUCGAAACAGGAUCCUGUUCAUCGAGAGGGGUCUGGCGUACCGCAAAACGGACGAAAUAGACCUCCUACGGUCGAAACGGGGGUCCUGUUCAUCGGGAGGGGUGUGGCGUACCGCAAAACGGGACUCCACGAGAUACUGUUCAUCUCCACCGUUGACCUCCUCCAGCCUCCACGGGCUACCAUCGACCUCCUCCAGCCUCCACGGACUCCUGUUCAUCCAGCCUCCACUGCGCGCUACUCCACCGGCUACUGUUCAACCACCCCUCCGCCAUCUACUGUUCAUCCAGCCCUCCACACCACGGGGUCCUGUUCAACCACCCCUCCACGAGCACCCCUCCACCGUCUACUGUUCAUCCAGCCCUCCACCACACCACGGGGUCCUGUUCAUCCAGAGGCAACGCCACCGCUCACUGUUCAUCCAAAGCCCCCUGCAACGCUCACUGUUCAUCCCAGAGGUAGCAUCGAUCGGCUUCAGUUAACAGCAGUAGCGAAGGAAGCGCUCGAUCGGGUUCAGUUAACAGCCAUCGAUCGAUCGCUCGGGUUCAGUAACGUGUAGCCUGCAGUGCAAGCGCUCGGGUUCAGUUAGAGCCCAACGCCUCGCUCGGGUUCAGUUAUAGCCAACGCCUCGCACACACGCGCGUACAUGUACGAGAGAAAUGCACAUCGCUCGGCCCCCGACCUCCCACCGUAGCCGGGAACUCCCCGAAAUUUUCCUCGCCCUCGCUUCUACCACGGUUUUUCCCAUCAUGGACGGCCCAAAGAAUUUCAUGCAGCUGCGUCUCCGGCCUGCCUAGGAUGAAAAGCCCAUUUUCUGUCAUGAUUUUUUGUCAUAGAAGUAGGAGCCCACCACAUCUAUGAUGAUACCGGGUUUUGUCACAAUUAUUGUCAUAGAAGUUCCAUAGAAGCCUCCCCAUGAACACGUAUCAUGAACACAUCCGUGCCCAAAAUUGGCUACUACACUACAAAAAAAAGACACAUCCAUGACAUUUUGGGCCGAACGAAUUGUUUUUCUGUCAUACAUAUGACACUUCUAUGACGAUAAUUGUGACAAAACCCGGUAUCAUCAUAGAUGUGGUGGGCUCCUACUUCUAUGACCAAAAAUCAUGACAGAAAAUGGGCCUUUCGUCCUGGGCGGGCCGAAGACGUAGCUGCAUGACAUUCUUUGGGUCGUCCAUGACGGAGAAAACCAUGGUAGAAGUGAGGGCGAGGAAAAUUUUGGUGAAUUCCCGGUUAUGGUGGGAGGUCGGGGGCCGAGCAAUGCGCGUUUCUCUCGUACAUGUACGCGCGUGUGUGCGAGGCGUUGGCUCUAACUUAACCCGAGCGUGGCGUUGGGCUCUAACUAAACCCGAGCGAUUGCACUGCAGGCUACGCGUUACUGAACCCGAGCGAUCGAUCGAUGGCUGUUAACUGAACCCUACCGAGCGAUUCCUUCGCUACUGCUGCUAAAUGAAGCCGAUCAAUGUUGCCUCUGGGAUGAACAGUGAGUGUUGCGGGGGCGGNNNNNNNNNNNNNNNNNNNNNNNNNNNNNNNNNNNNNNNNNNNNNNNNNNNNNNNNNNNNNNNNNNNNNNNNNNNNNNNNNNNNNNNNNNNNNNNNNNNNNNNNNNNNNNNNNNNNNNNNNNNNNNNNNNNNNNNNNNNNNNNNNNNNNNNNNNNNNNNNNNNNNNNNNNNNNNNNNNNNNNNNNNNNNNNNNNNNNNNNNNNNNNNNNNNNNNNNNNNNNNNNNNNNNNNNNNNNNNNNNNNNNNNNNNNNNNNNNNNNNNNNNNNNNNNNNNNNNNNNNNNNNNNNNNNNNNNNNNNNNNNNNNNNNNNNNNNNNNNNNNNNNNNNNNNNNNNNNNNNNNNNNNNNNNNNNNNNNNNNNNNNNNNNNNNNNNNNNNNNNNNNNNNNNNNNNNNNNNNNNNNNNNNNNNNNNNNNNNNNNNNNNNNNNNNNNNNNNNNNNNNNNNNNNNNNNNNNNNNNNNNNNNNNNNNNNNNNNNNNNNNNNNNNNNNNNNNNNNNNNNNNNNNNNNNNNNNNNNGUUUCGUCCGUUUUGCGGUACGCCACACCCCUCCCGAUCAACAGGACCCCCGUUUCGACCAUAGGAGGUCCGUUCCUCUGUUUUGUGGUACGCCAGACCCCUCCCGAUCAACAGGACCCCGUUCCGAACGUAGGAGGUCUGUUUCCUCCAUUGUGCAGUACGCCAGGCCUCGUUUCCAUCGCCUGUUCCGUCCAAGCCCUCCCGAUGAACAUGACCACACAUUCCGUUCCGACCCAGCCGGUUGGCUCCCACGCGUUCCGUUUCCUCCCGAUGAACACGACACAUUCUGUUGCCUCACCAUGAACAUGACGCAUUUAGUUGCCUCCCCAUGAACACGAUGACGACGCUGUUUCUCCAUUCCGACCCAGCCAUGUACACGAGCCCUGGCCGUACUUAUGCACGAGUAGGUGUUUGAGACCCCACCCGUAUGUACACAUAUGUGGCAGUAUUUUCUUUCUUGCACCCCGGCCGCUGUACGUACGUGUACAUGCUACGUGCGCGCCUCUACUAUGACACGUACGCGCCUCUACUAUGACACGUGCGCGCCUCUACAUCCACCAUUAUAUAUGUACGUACACGUUCACGACCAAAAUGACAACGCUACGUACGCUUCAACCAGGUGGGUCCCGACUGUCACACACUUCCUUGCCUGUGAAGAUGUAGCUGGUUGAUCCCAGCAGUCAGGGGGGGCGAAUCAUUUUUUUUGCCCGGACGCACUUCCUUGCGUGCGAAGAUGUAACUGGUGGGUCCUAGCAGUUAGGGGCAAACGUUUUUUUCGUGAAAUACGGUGGCCCGUCCGGUGGGUCCUCGCUGUCAGGUGGAGGAAUAAUUAUUUUGCACGUAAUAAGGAAGCACUUCCUUGUUGUGGCUGUGGACCCAGCUGUCAGCUCUCCACGUAUAGUCCAUGUCCGAUGGAAGCCAUUCCUUGACCACAUUGACUACGCCGUGCCGAGAGCACCAGGGCGAUGGACGACGGCGAGGCCUAGGAAGGGGACGACACGGAGCCGGGGAAGACGCGGCAGUGGAUGCUCACGUGUAGAGGAGUACGAGGGUUCACUGGUUCGCUGCGGUGUGAGGCUGCCGUCGCCGCAGAAUAACAGGGGGUGUGGGUGAGUAGAGGGAUGGCCUGGCUGACGGUGGGAGUAGUAGGCGGCGGUGAGGCCUGCCCGCAUCGUAGCCGGCCACAGGAGGCAGGAGCACGAGGCACGACCAGCACUGGUUUGGGUGGCUGGAGAAAGAAGACCAGAGGUUGAAGAAGCACUACGUCCGUUGGAUGGACAUCGUACGGUCACUGGAGCUAAAAUCGUGCAUAUUGACUAAGUUGACAAAGCCCUCUAUCCCUGUCAACUUAGUAGGCCCACAAGUCAGCCUGCCACUAUACUAGGUCCCAGCUAACAGGGGGAGUAUUCAUUUUUUUGUGCGUAAUAAGGAGGCACUUCCUUGCGUGCGAAGAUAUAGCUGGUGGGUCCGAGCUGUCAGCGGCGGUAAUGUUUUUUCGCGAAAUACAAAGGCCCUUUCGGUGGGUCCCUGAUGUCAGGUGAAGGAAUCAUUAUUUUGCCCGUAAUAAGGAGGCAUUUCCUUGCGUGCGGCCGUGGACCCAACUGUCGGCCUCUCCACGUACAGUCCACUUCAGAUGCAUGUCGGUCGUUGACCACGUUGACCAGGCCUCUCCGAGAGCACCAGGGCGGUGGACGACGGCGAGGCCUAGGAAGGGAACAACACGGAGGUAGGGAAGACUCGGCAGUUGUUUCCCACACGGAGGGGAGUACGACUGUACGAGGAUUUACUGGUUCGUCUGCCGUCGCUGGAGAAUAACAGCAGGUGUGGGUGAGUAGAUGGAUGGCUAGGCCAGCGAUGGGAGUAUGGUGGGGCGGUGAGGCCUGCGCGGCAGCACAACCGGUCGCGGGGAGGAGGGAGCAGGCAGUCCCGUCGGCGCUUGUUUGAGCGGCUGGAGCAGGAAGAGCAGAGAUUGAAGAAGCACGACGGCCGUUCGAUGGACAUCCAACAGUCACUGCUUGUGCGUCAACCUUUUUUUAGGAAAGCCUCAAAUCUCUGGAAAAUAGCAUACAGCCCAUCUGCCAUUAUAUCUAAUAACUUAUAGCCCAUUUGCUAAUUCUUAAGGUUUUUUGGAGCCCAUAUUCUUUUUGUUAGCAUUACAGCCCAUAUUGUGGCCACGGUUAAAAAAUUAUACGAAAUUUUGCAUAUUUCGGUGCGGUCCGAACUGUUUUUAAUCCCGAAGUUUCGACUCACAUUCAAACUGAUUUUAAAAAUAAAUUUAUAUAAAAUCCAACAUAUUCUCCACGCAUAAAGAUUAAUAUAAUUUAAAAUCUUGAAAUGGUAAAAAUAUAUUUGAAACUAAUUGCCGGUUUGAUGUGUUUUAAAAAUGUACAGCCCAUUUCUCAUUACUGAUACGCCAUUUUCUCGGCCAGCCGAAUGAAGCUCUCCUCAUCUUGAAAGAUUUGCAGCCCAAUAGGCCUGACAAAGCGACUUACUUGGCAAAUCACAAAAAUACUGGGUUGUGGCCGUGGACCCAGCUAUCAGCCCCUCCACGUACAGAACUCUUCCGAUGGAAGUCGGUCGUUGACCACAUUGACCACGCCGCGCCGAGAGCACCAAGGCGGUGGACGACGGUGAGGCCUAGGAACGGGACGACGCGGAGCCGGGGAAGACGUGGCAGUGGAUGCCCACGCGGAGAGGAGUACGAGGGUUCACUGGUUCGGCUGCGGCGUGAGGCUGCCGUCGCCACAGAAUAACUAGGGGUGUGGGUGAGUAGAGGGAUACCCUGGGCCAGCGGUGGGAGUAGUAGGGGCGGUGAGGCCUCCGCGGCAUCACACCCGGCCAUGAGAGGCAGGAGCACGCGGCACGACCGGCGCUGCUUUGGGCGGCUGGAGCAAGAAGACCAGAGGUUGAAGAAGCACUAUGGCCGUUGGAUGGACAUCGUACGGUCACUGGAGCUAGAAUCGUUCAUAUUGACUAAGUUGACAAAGCCCUCCAUCCUCGUCAACUUAGUAGGCCCACAAGUCAGCCACCCACUAUGGUGGGUCCCGGCUAGCAGGGGGUAUUCAUUUUUUGGUGCGUAAUAAGGAGGCACUUCCUUGCGUGCGAAGAUAUAGCUGGUAGGUCCGACCUGUCAGUGGGGGGGACGUUUUUUUCGUGAAAUAUAGAAGCCCUUCCCACGUACAGUGCGUAAUAAGGAGGAACUUUCCUUGCGCGCGACCCUGGACCUCUUGGGUCCUAGCCGUCAGGCUCUCCACGUACGGUCCUCUUCCGAUGACUCUCGUAUGUUGACCACGCCGCGUCGUGCGCACCGAGGCAGUUGACGACGGCGAGGCCCCAGACUGGAACGACCCGGAGAUGGGGAAGACGCGGCAGUGGAGUCGCAGACGGAGAGGAGUGGGAAACUUGACUGGUUCGGGUGCGGGGUGGGCCUACACUCGACAGAGAAUAAUAAGAGGUGCGGAGUGGAGGGAUGGCCUGGCCGUCGGUGGGGUAGCAUUUUGCUGAGGAGCACAAAACAACGCCGCUAGACGCCGAAGGCUGGAGCAAGCGGUUCUGGCAGCGCUAGGGGAAGAAGACGAGAGAUUGAAGAAUAAUGCCGGCCGUUGGAUGUAAAUCCAAUGCCUUCUUAGGCUUCGAUCUACUGGCCCACAUGUCAGCCAGUCCAUUUGUUUUUUUAGUCCAUUUGGUGAGCUGGGUGAAACAAUGAUGUAGCAUCUAUGCAGCCCAUUUAAAUCCCAUUUGCAUUUUUCUCGAAAUCCGCGGACUUGUUGGGCUGGGUGAAAAUAUCUUGUUGGGCUAGACAGAGAAAUGUUAUAAAAACAUAAACACAUGAUUGCACGUCAGUAAAAUCUUUGCAAGCUUAUGUAUGCAAUCACUAGGAGUUAACUUGCCAAGUUAUAUAUAAACAAUUAUUAGUAUUAUUUUGUAAGAACUUUCAACUUACGAAAUAAAAUAUCAUUUUAAUUUGAUGAGUUAAUAGUACGUGGGGUAUUAUUAUUUUUUAGGCUGGACGUGGGACAGUUGAGUUGGUUCUAGGGGAAAGUACUGGGAGAAAACUCAGUUUACAUCAAAAAGAAAGUGGGAGAAAAUUCAGAGACCUGCUGGGUCCACCCGAGGAGGGGAAUAUGUUGGGAGGAAGGAGAUUCAAAGCACGGCAGCCGAGUGUACUAGUUUUUUUUACGGACAAGUGAACUAGUUUACAUACAUAAGCAAAUAGCCACUAAAAAAGCAAUCAGGUUAAUGGGUUCUUAAAAGAAAUAUUUCGGACAAAAUAGAUAAUUACGACACAUAGGCUAAUGCAUGAAACACUCAGAUGAUAAAGGUGCUUAUAAAAAGAUAAAGUACAACAUCUAGACCUUCCUGGCACGCUUGAUCAUGAUGCUGCGGCUGUCCGUGUACUCGUCGGUUACGGGAAGCAGACAUGCCCUCAUGUCCAAGAUCAGCCUGUACAUGUCGUAGCAUGCGUAUGCGUCCUUGGCCGCGUAGGUUAUGUAGGCUAGAUUCAGAGGUACCUCCCACGUGUUCAGGUCAUCUUCUUUCAUGUUGGCGUAUCAGGGGUCGAUGAUGGUCUCAGCAAGGUCAACCACGAUGUCCUUCUCCUGCCCAUUGCUGAUGAUCUUGUAUUGCUUCUAGAUGUCGACAAGCUUGUUGCACCAGAUGGUCGAAUCGUCGCGUUCUUCCUUCUCUCCACCGUAGCAAAGGUGCAGUCGGCGCUACCGAUGAAACGGGCGAAUGCUCCAGAACCUGGUGUAGCCAUAGGACUAAGGCGAGGCAGAGCUUCACCGAGUCCGUAUCGUUGGUGUACAUCACAUUCAACUUGGUGCAGCCAUAGGACUGAACGGUGAACUCAAAGGGGAACUCCUUGCUGAAGUCCAUACUCAGCAGGCUCACCCCUCGGAUCGCCAUUGGAGUCUCUUCGAGUGAACGAGUGUGUAGGCAGCGGCAGUAGUUCAUUUUUCAGCUCUUGGGGAACUGGAUUCAGCAGUAAGCUGAGUGUGUACAUGCGACAACAGUUACUACCCCUCCCUCGUCCGCUGCACGCCCGGCAGAAGAUGCACCCUCGGCCACACGUCGGUUCAUGAGCGGGUCUGUAUUGGUACUGCAAUAAUAGGAGUUAGUGGUCACUUUACUUAAAUUUAAUUAGCUUUAAUAGAAAUUUAUACUUAAAACAAGCAAUGCAUUCACUCAUUCUAUCAGUGCCACAGGAUCAACAUGCACAACAAUUAGAAUUAUUAUUCUUAGGAUGCACACGAUCAGCACAUUUGUCACACUUUCACAAAGAUAAUACUACCAAGUUUGAACUGUUUGUUAUGGUUGUUGUCCUCUGCAUCAUCAUGCCAUGUUUCCCAACUUGCAAGAUUCAGAACCAACAAAUAAGAUCCAAAUAAUAAGUACAACAAAGAUGCCUACACAUCUCAUUGAUUCCCAGCUUGCAAGAUUCAAAACCAACAAAUAAGAUCCAGAUAAUAAGUACAACAAAGAUGCCUACACAUCUCAUUGAUUCCCAGCUUGCAAGAUUCAGAACCAACAAAUAAGAUUCAAAUAAUAAGUACAACAAAUAUGCCUACACAUCUCACUGAUUCCCAGCUUGCAAGAUUCAGAACCAACCCAUUAGAGCCUUUUGAUAAAGUGAAUAUCGGGAUUAAAUCCAUCUUGGCUAGCAAUGUCAUACAAUCAAAGAACUUGGUGAAUGCUGUUGACCGUCACAACAUCUAUAGUUGAGUAUUCCUGUUUGCACAGCACAAACAAGGAGAUAGGAGAGCAUGAUUUCGCUUUAAUAGCGGCCUCCUUGAACUCAACCUCCAGCUCUACUUGGACGAGGUCUGCCUGGAGUUCCAUGAUUCAAUUCAUGCGCCUUUUUCUGCAGUUCACCUGAAAUGAAGCAAAGAUUGCAUCAUUCAGCUAGCAAGAAGUACUUGCUCUUGUGAGCUGGCAGGUUCUUCUUUAGUAGUUGCACUAAAAUUGAGGAACAUUAAGGUUGGCUGUCCGGCUCAUGUAAGGUGCAACUAUAAUUUUAUUAUCCUUUUGUGCAGUUCCACUAAAAUAAAGUGCCAUUGUGGUGACAGUGACGGCUCCAUCUUGCAAAGGCUAAUAAAAUGUUGCACGAGAUUACCAGCAGAACUUGACGGAGAUUUUGGAAACACCAAUCACCAUUUUGUGCAGUUCCACCAAAAUUGAGAGAUGUUGCCCACGUGACAUUUUAGUUGAACUGCACAAGACACUCAUUCCAAAAAAAGUGUUUUGUGCAGUUCACCAAAAGGUCACAAUAGCAACAAGGUGAAAUGGAUAUCCCUAUCUGCACAAAAAGAUAGAAAGUAAAUAGCUACUGGUCAAUAAGAAUAUACGAAACAUAUACAAAAUGAAAGAAACAUCUUAAUUAUGUUCAUGGCAAUCACGCAAGGACAGUAGAAAUUUCAAAACGUCGGCAAUGCUUCAUGUUACCAGAAGCAUUAUGAUCAACAAUGAGAUUCCUCAAAUAUGGGUUACUUUAAUGGUGGCAUUGCUUGUUUACCAGACACAGUAAAUCAAUAGCAGCUAAAGAGUUGGUUUAAGGGCAUGGGACCGUGGGGAUACCAAGAUACUCAGCAGCGUAAAGGAGAAACUUACUUAUCAUACUGGGGAAAACAGCAGGAGUGCCAUUUGUAACACAGUUUAAUUGCAUCUUAUCACUAGAGACAUUAGAUUAACAAUAACACUGGUUAGACAUGUCCCUAUGGUAACAGUGUGAUCGCUUCAUUUUACAUGCGCCCUUACAUUAACAAUAGCAAAAGGUUGGUAUAAGGACAUGCGACAGUGGACGCAUCAGCACAAUGUACCUACAAGGAGGCAUAAAGUGGUGAUGCUGAGUUUGUUCAUGCUAUGUGAGGGAAGCAAACCUAAUCCUGGAGACCUUGUACUAUGUGAGGGCAGCAAAUCUAAUCCUGGAGACCUUUUACUAUGUGAGGGCAGCAAAUCUAAUCCUGAGACCUUUUACUAUGUGAGGGCAGCAAAUCUAAUCCUGGAGACCUUUUACUAUGUGAGGGCAGCAAAUCUAAUCCUGAGACCUUUUACUAUGUGAGGGCAGCAAAUCUAAUCCUGCGACCUUUUACUAUGUGAGGGCAGCAAAUCUAAUCUUGGACACCUUUUACUAUGUGAUGGCAGCAAAUCUAAUCCUAGACAUACUCUGUUGACUUGUCCACCAGCCGCCACUUUCUAUCCUUUUUUCAACCAAUAAUAGAUAUGUUCCUUAUCCAGUUUGUACUGCGUUUUCCCAUUAUUUCCCUUUUCAACCAAGAGACCGGUUGGGUAUCCGGUCUCUACUACUUUCACCAUAUUAUUUCCUCCUUGAAUCAAGUCCUAGAUUCAUGCUACAACUUUCCCCCCUUUCUUCGUUGUUUGAACAAAGCCCUAGAUUCGAAUGCAUGAACUAGCUUUACCUCUCAUAAUACUAAAAAUUUAGGUGGCUUUGGAAGAGCUGAUGGGAGUAGAAAAAGAUGCACAUGCAGACACGUGGGGAGCUGGGGCAGUAGAGCAAGGCCGCUUUCGAAGAACUUAUACCUGAGGGGCGCUGGGAUGUCGGCGGCGGCAGGUCGGAUCUGCGGACAAUACGGCAGGGAGGAAGAAGGGUCGGAGGACCUCCCGAGUCGGCGUUGUGUCAGAGAGAACGGCACGGGCAGAGGAUCGGGCCCCUCCGGCAGUUGUGGGUUCCAUCCCUCGGCAGCGAUGACCACAUGAACGAUGCACAUUUUAGUCCUCUACACACACCGGCCGAAGGGAUCCGGCCGGAUCUGUGACCAGCGGUGAGCAGAGAGAAAAUGUUGCUACCGAUGUCUUGUUUAUAUGUGGAGAGGAUGAGAGAAUGAAGAGAUCAACCCUAGUAAAGCAAGCGCUCAGGCCCCUGCGUCCAUAUAUAGUGGAGUGAUUAUCUUUUUUUCUCUCCACAACAAGCGUUUCAAUUUGUGUAUGUGGCAUUAAAGAAAAGAAACUCUCUAUUUAAGGUGACUACUGUACGACUCCUACUUACUACUAGUAGUACUAUAGUAUUGUUCACUUGUGCUCCCCGCCCCUCCAUUCAUUGAACAACCCCACGGGUGAAUAAACAUAUAGUAAGUAAUGUAUUUAUAUAGAACGAACAAGCUCGAACUAUUUUCGCGUAGUUAAAAGUUGAGGGCGGGGCUUUUCCCGGGCAGUACACGCGGCAGUUUUCGGGUAGGCGGUUUGACAGAGAGGCGAGGAGGGUGAGCGAGUGGGGCUGUGCGAUUUGAUGGCGCGUUAUUGCUGGAAAGACUUGUGAUAUGACCAGUCACUAUAGUCAUGAAUUACUGGCGCUCCAACCGGGGUGAUGCCCCCCUUCCGUUCCACGCUCUAAUCUGGUGCAUGACACGUCGACCCGGAUGCUGGCUCUCCCACAUGUCGGAGUAGUAAGAAGGAGCAAAGAAUGAUGUGGUAUAUACUAGUAAUAUACUACUCCCUCCGUUCCUAAAUAUAAGUCUUUGGAGAGAUUUCACUAUGGACCACAUACGGAGAAAAAUGAGUGAAUCUACACAUAAAAUACAUCUAUAGUCAUGAACUACUGCACUGAGGAGUACUACAGUACACUUCUGGCCAUCUGACACCGAUUGAACUGCUGCAUGUCCACCGCGUGCGGGAGGGAGAGCGUGUAACGAAAGCUUCUCCUAGUCUUGCCAGCCACCACGCUCAUGGGCGAGGGAGGGACGCUCCUGCCUUUGCGUGUAUGAUAGGUGGGCCCGACAGGUGUGUGGCCAACCUGUCAUACAGCCAAAGGCAGGUGCAGUUAAGUCCGCGAGGGAGAGGAUAAUCAAACUUCUCGUUGAUGUACGAUUUGAUGCGACACAUCAAAGCACUGCACUCGAUAUAUUUCAAUAAUUUGUGUUUACUGAUGCAUUAAUUACAACGCAUGCAUGCAUGUCGUGACUCUCAUUUUGAUACUUGCAUGUGUUGAUUUAAUGCACCUUGAAGUAGUAUAAAAUAUGUGACGGUAAAGCUUUGUAAUACCCCGGCCCAAGUCAAGAGAUGGUUGUGCACGAGAGGGUGAGAUCAUGCAGAUCGAAGAUGACCCGACAAUGGAGCUCUCUAAGACUAGCCACAAUGGAGAGUAACAUACACUAGUAACAUACACAUAUCCCUAGACUAUGUUACUACCUUCAUAGUGGGUAGUAACAUAAGUGUGGUAACAUGCAAACCUUCAUUUAUUAGGUUAUAGACUCAUAUUUGCUUUGGGACAUGUGAUGUUAUAGUAACUAGCUAAGUUACUGUAACUAUCUCUCUCCUCAUUAACUCAUUGCCACAUAAGCAAAUUUGCUGAGUUGGACUCGAUGUUACUGCUGAAGUUACUCCCACUGUGGCUAGUCUAAGGUCUCGAUGGACCUCACCGUGCUCACCAACCAAGAUGGUGAGUGGUGGAAUAUUUUUUGUAGGUUGCAAAAGCACCUAAUUAAUGCUCUCGUUUUUCUCAAAAAAUUAUGUUUAUCAAUGCAUUAAUUGCAAUGCAUGCAUGCAUAAAGUACAUGCAUUGGUCAAUUUUCUCUUAAUACUUGCAUGCAAUGAUUUAAUGCAUCUUGGAAUCUGAACAUGUGUUGGGGAACAACCAAAUUGAGCCUUAUAAAAUGGAAAAACUAAAAUUUUGAGAUAAGCCCUAUAAAACCGAAAAGGAGGGAGUAGAAAAAGAAGUACUCCAUUUGGGAAUAGUGCCGCACUUCAAAACUAGAACCAUCAAUGAAUUUUGAGCUUGCGUCUCGUCACAUUCCAAAUUACUCCAUGCUAUAUUGAAUUGCAAACCUGUUCACACCGAUCACAACCUAAACGGUUUCCCACUUAGGAGCGUAUUAGUACUUGGUUAUAAAUACUAGUAUGACAAGAUGACUGCACAUUCCUCCUCAACUCCUCAUCCACAAAACCAAACAAGUCAUUCAGCAUCCUUCCCUUGCGUCUGCCAUGGCCAGCGUGAGUUCUGGGUCGAGAGAUUGCCACCAGGGAGAGGCGAGCAUGGAAGCGGAAGCACGAGAGAUGUCCCGCCUCGCUGCGAGAGCAGCCGACAUGUCCUGCCGUGCGGAAGUAGCAGCACAGAGGUCCCGUCGCGCCGCUGAAGCAGCAUGGAGGUCCCGCCGCGCCGUCGAUGUAGCAGACUAGUCCGGCCGCGCCGCGGAAAAAGCAGAGAUGUCCCGCCGCGCCACGAAUGCACCCGAGAUGUCCCGCCGCGCCGAGGCGGCCUGGGAAAAUUUCUCGCGGGCAGGCGAUGACUGUUACAGGCGCAUGCAUGCGAUCGUCCAUAGCCAGAUGGAUCAGAUCUCCGACUGGGCGAGGUUGCAAGAUGACAUGAAAGCCUCGUUUGAACAGGCUACCGGCGUCAUCCGACAACUAAGGGAGGGCAAUGAGAGGCUCCGGGCCAAGCGCGACCUGCUAAGGGAGAAGAUCGUCCGAAGUGCAGACCAGCAGGAGGAGACCAGUGCCUUGUUGAAGAGGACCGGCGUCAUCAUCAAGAAACUUAUGGACGAGAAUGACAUGCUCCGCAACAAGCGCCAAAGGCUGGUGGAGGAAUCCGUGGAUGUUAUCAAGCAGCGUCUUGAGGACAUGAAAGAGCUCAUCGCCGUUCGCCGCGGAGACUAGUUCUCGUGGCCUGCAGCAACGCAUCAAGAAAGUAGAGAUCAGCGAGCCAGAUCCUUGUCUUCCUUCUUCUUUUGCCCUUGUGUAUUUCAGGCGUAGCCGCAUGUGGCUUUUUUAAUUAUCUUUCUAAUUAUGUAAGACAAUUAAUCGUCCUUAUCUUUCUGUGGAAGAUCAAUGUUGCGAGGCUGGAAUGAAGAAAACUCUUGCUGUGGCGACCCUGGCGUUGCUGUUCUUCUAGUUGCUGCUGGGCUUCCUUCAGUUUCCUGGUUUCUUUUGAUGUAAUAAUCGGUUUAGGAUGUGGAUUGUGUCGUCGAUUGUGAAAUGUUGGGUUCUAGCGCGGAUGUUUGGCCUUUCUUGGCCUCUUGGGAUGUUGCGAUUUCAAUCUGGUAGCUUUUAGUCCUUCGUGUUAGGCUGGAGUUGUGCUGAACUUCUUGUGAAUUGUGGUUGUUUUCAGUAAUGAAAAUCGGAAGGGGCAAGCCCUUCUUUGAUCAAAAAAAAAUUAAUAGUCCUUAUAUAUUCAUCAGUCUUGCUAUAAGUCGCAGUAGAUGCUAUAUAGGUCCGUCGGAUCUUACAUCAAGAUCCGUGCUUUCAGAUUUUCUUUUUUCUCUCUUAAAUCUUAGUCGAGUGAGACAUAGCCACGCCGUUAAACAGAGGCUCGGGCACCAUUAAUGGAGACCUUGGGAGAGAGGUGGACGGCAGAUGGAGGUCAAAGGGCUCUCCUCCCGAUAAGCACGCGCAGGGGUCUGGUCGCACGCCUCUCGUACUCAAAUAGCUACCCUGCACGGCGCCUCCUAGCUAAUAAAAAAUGGGGAUGCGUGGCAGCACGUAAAUGGUACUAGUAAGUAGAACGCCCACGGUUUCAAUAAUACUUGUGUUUCCAAUUGUAACGUGACAGCACUUGUUCCAAAAUGACUUUGUUGAUUGUUAAUGUGUGCGCCUUCGCAAAUCGGACUGCAAAUUUACCACAACAUGUUGGUGCCAUGUCAUGGAACCAAGCCAAGUUUCAUUAUUUUCAUGCGUGUUUUGGAUUUAUAGGAAUUAAAAAACUAACUUUCUCAAUGUUUUCAACCCAGCCACGACGCCCAGAAUUUUGAAUUUCAUUCCCAUUUCUUGCAUGGAACCUAGAAAUUUACCCGAAGAAACACAUGUGAUUUUUCAACCAACUUUGGUGCACUGGAACAUGUGCUUGUAUUUCAAAUUUGAAUUAUGCACACAAAGGUGACACAUUCCCUCCUAGAACCACGAGCCUUCUUGAGAGAAGCUCCGAUUUGCAAGAAGCUUAUACCAAAAUUUGUUCCUAUUCGGCCAAUUUUUUACCACGGCAUGGUACUACCAUGGCAUGACACCAUGCCAAGUUUCAUGAUUUUAAAACCAAGUUUCUCAAUGUUCUCGACCGAGCCACGAUGCCCAGAUGUUUGAAUUUAUUCUCAUUUUUUGCAUGGGACCUACUCCCUCCUUCCAUCUAUAUAGGGCCUAAUGUGUUUUCAAGAUAGCCUUUGACUAUUGACAAGAUUAAUAGCACAUGAGAUGUAUACUAUGAAAAUUAUAUUAUUGGAAGCUCCUUUCACAUACAAAUUUGAAGGUAUGCUUUGUGUAAGUUGCGUGUCAUAUAUUAUUGCUCUAACAUUUGGUCAAAGUUAGCCUCGAAAAACGCAUUUGGACCUAUAUAGAUGGAAGGAGGGAGUAGAAAUUCACCCGAGGACACAAAUGUGAUUUUUCAACCAACUUUGGUGCACGGGAGCAUGUGGUUGUAGUUCAAAUUUGAAUUGUGCACAUUAAAUGACCAAAAACUCAAUUAAUGUGUAAAUAAGGCCAAAUGAAGCCGGAAUAAUUCCAAAAUUUAACAGGGCACUCAUGUAGUUAUAUGUUGCCUUUGUAAAUAAACUCAAGGGGGACAACGUAUACAGUUUCGCAAUCAAAGGUGGCACGUUCCCUCUCAGAACCACGAGCCUUCUUGAGAGAAGCUUCGGUUUGCAAGAAGCUUAUACCAAAAUCUGUUCCUAUUUGGCCAAUUUUUUUACCACAACAUGGUAGUACCAUGACAUGACAUCCAUGCCAAGUUUCAUGAUUUUCAGACGUGUUUUGGAUUUACAAGAAUUUUAAAACCAAGUUUCUCAAUGUUCUCGGCCGAGCCACGAUGCCCAGAUGUUUUAAUUUUAUUCUCAUUUCUUGCAUGGGACCUAGAAAUUCACCCGAGGACACAAAUGUGAUUUUUCAACAAACUUUGGUGCAUGAGAGCAUGUGCUUGUAGUUCGAAUUUGACUUAUGCACAUUAAAUGACCAGAAACUCAAUUAAUGUAUAAAAACGACAAAUGAACCCGGAAUAAUUCCAAAAUUUAACAGGGCACUAAUGUAGUUCUAUGUUGCCUUUGUUAAGAAACUCAAGGGGGGCAGCGUAUAUUGUUUCACACUCAAAGGUGGCACGUUCCCUCUUAGAACCACGAGCUUCCAAAUCGGUCCAAUUUUUUUACCACAACAUGUUAGUGCCAUGACAUGACACCAUGCCAAGUUUCAUGAUUUCCAGGCGAGUUUUGGAUUUGCAUGAAUUUAAAAUCAAAGUUUCUCGAUGUUCUCGGCCGAGUCAUGACGCCCAGAUGUUUGAAUUUCAUUCUCAUUUCUUCCAUGGGACCUAGAAAUUCAACCAAUGACACACAUGUGAUUUUUCAACCCACUUUGGUGCACCGGAGCAUGUGCAUGCAAUUCAUAUUUAGAGUAUGCACAUUAAAAGUCCAGAAACUCAAUUAAUGUAUAAAAAGGCCAAAUGAACCCGAAAUAACUCCAAAAUUUAACAGGGCACUCAUAUAUUUCUAUCUUGCCUCUGUAAAUAAAAUCAGGGGGGAGGCAGUGUAUAUCGUUUCGCACACAAAGGUGACACGUUCCCUCUCGGAACCACGAGGCUUGUUGAGAGAAUCUCCGGUUUUGCAAGAGGCUUAUACCAAAACUUGUCCCAAUUCAGCCAAAAAUUAUACGUAUGAAAACAGGGUUUAGAUUAUCCCAAACAUCUCGCUAGCUAGACCAAUAAUGUACUAUGAUUUGAAUUCAACAUAAAAUGGAUACAAAUAUUUGAAUUGGAGAGAGUAUGGUACAUGUAGUUCAUAGUGAAAUAUGAUUACUGCUAUAUGUAUGUUUUUUGUUAUCAAGAUAAUAUUUAAAUUAUUGUAUAACUUGACAACAAUCAUAUUAUAAUAAGGAAAAUUGAUUCAAAUUUAGUCCAUAUGGUAGACGACAAUAUAUAUGUUCACAUGGUGGAGUAAAAUGUUCAUAUAUGAUGGAAGAUCAAAAUGUACGACUACAUCAAUUAUAAACCGCAAGGUCACCUAACAAUAUAUUCAAAUUCAACAUAACAUGGAUUCAAAAAUUGAAAUUCAAGAUCAUGGCAUUUUUAAUCAUAUAAAAAGGGACAUUACUCUUUCUUUGGUGGGAAUUGAUUUGUUUUUUGUUGCUAUUGAGGGAAGUGCGGAUCAAUUUGGUACUGUGCAGGGUAAUCUUGUUCUCCUGUUUUUUUACAUUUUUCUAGUAGUUUUUUCAAUGGCAUCUAUACCAAUAUAGUAAAAGGGGACAUGACUCUCUUGUGUCUUGUAUGAAUUGUUUUUUACACGUUAAGUUUGUUCUGCCGAACAAGGAAUCCGCACCUUGUUAUCCCGAAAUUUUCAAGCUCGAGUAUCUUUUGUCUCACCUGCUUUGAAACUCCCGCUUCUUCAACCCGCGCCGCGCCUUGUUAUCCCGAAAUUUGGACGCGCGCGAGAACUCCCUCCUCACCCGAAAUCGCUCCUGCAGCCCAGACACGUGAAAUCCCCCUUCUACCCCUCAGCCAGAAAUGAAGCCCCAUGUCGCGGUGUCAAAACCGGUGGGGGUACGCUGGUAACUUACCCUACAUUUCGAACAAGUGCGUCCCUAAGCUUGGCNNNNNNNNNNNNNNNNNNNNNNNNNNNNNNNNNNNNNNNNNNNNNNNNNNNNNNNNNNNNNNNNNNNNNNNNNNNNNNNNNNNNNNNNNNNNNNNNNNNNNNNNNNNNNNNNNNNNNNNNNNNNNNNNNNNNNNNNNNNNNNNNNNNNNNNNNNNNNNNNNNNNNNNNNNNNNNNNNNNNNNNNNNNNNNNNNNNNNNNNNNNNNNNNNNNNNNNNNNNNNNNNNNNNNNNNNNNNNNNNNNNNNNNNNNNNNNNNNNNNNNNNNNNNNNNNNNNNNNNNNNNNNNNNNNNNNNNNNNNNNNNNNNNNNNNNNNNNNNAAAACCCGUGAAACCCCACGCUCCUCCGUCGGCCUCCCGACCGCCGCCCAGCCGGAGACUCUUCCCCGACUACGUCGUCCACCGCAACAGCUCACCGUCCCUCAUCCACCGCACCGGAUGAGGAUCCGUUGUCGAUCGCGUCGUCCCGCCGGAUCAGCCGCCCCGUCCUCCACCUCCAAGGAGCUACCCCGACGUUUGCCUCGUCUAUCGCGCCACCUCAAUCCCCACAGCGCCGUCUUGACCUGCCCCACCGGAACCGCAGCACCCUCACCAAUUCCUCCGAUGAAGCCGAGGCCAACUCGGCGCCACCAAGGAGGUUCUGCACUCACCGCUGCAUUUUAUAUUUUAUUUGAUCUCACGGGGCUACUGGUGCUCGAUAUCGAGCAGACAUGGCGUGUCUCCAUCGACGGCGUCGUCGCCGGCCACAUCAUCCAUGGCUCUCUCCCCCAUGUCGUUGCUUCCUCAGCGAUGACUUCCACAACUACACUAGCUGCAGCUGCUCCGGCUCUCGCUCGCGUUGCGGCUCUGUUCUUGCUGUCGGUCGCGCUACUGCACUGAUCCUGCUUUCGUUCGUGCUGCUGCUCUGCUCUUGCUCUCGCUUGCACUGCUGCUGCUGCUGCACGACCUCCGGCAGCUACAGGAGUUGCUGCUUUAGCACUCGCUUGCAGUGCUACUGCACGACUUGCUCUCUGCUAGUGUGUUCCCUGCUCAAGCGUCUGCUGAUUUAGAUCACAGCUUCUCUGCUACUAGUGCUCGAACGCCCUAAACAUCUAUUGCAAUGCUAUGUUACUAGUUCAAUCAGUUUCGACAGUAAAAUUCAGUUUCGACUGUGAAGUUCAUUUUCUUCAGUUAAGUUUAGAGUGAACAGUACUUACAUCAUCUGUCGGAGCGGCCGUGGCGCGGCUGAUGCAUUUUACAUCUAGCACUUUUUGGUGAUGUAUUUUACAUCAUCUAUUGCAGAUGAUAUUAGGGUCCAACUUCAGAUUAACGUUGUUUGCCUUGUCAUGCUUCAGCCUCGUCGCCGUACACCUUAGUGGAGCUGCUCCAACGAUAGAACCGUCCAUCACAGCGGAGCAGUACCCUCGGUGCCGUUUCUAGAGGCCUCGGAUCUUCUUCCCCGCCUCCGACAGUCACACCAGCAUCAUCACCAUCCUCCACGUCCAACCCAAUGAUGCUGAGGUCCACAAGGCUAUGCCAAAGAGGUUGUACACUCGUCGCAUCACUUUGUUUCUCCAUUCGUCUGUUCUUCCAAUUCAUGUGAGCCAAACACCCAGGUUAACUGAAAUCCUAUGUUUCAAAAUGCUCUGUUUUGCACGUGCAUUCCUAUCCUAUUCCUGUGUUUUUACUGUCCCUGCGUUUAUAGAAUCCUCCAAUUCUAAGGAGCCCUUACAGAUUUACUUCAUUUUCAGAUAGGCGUCAAAGAAAACUCUGUGUGUUAUGUCCUGCUCCUGCCGUGCCGUCAUCCACCCCACCUGAGGUGCACCAUCGACAGAAGCGUUCACUGCAGCAGAGAUCCCCCCUGCAGACUUCCUUUUGCCGCCUCAGAUCAUCUUCCCCGUUGUCGGAAGCCAUGCCAACUGCAUUACCAUCAUCGACUGAGCAGAUGAACCUGAGGAAUACACAGUUCCGGAAGAGAGGUCGCAGUCUUUCGUGUUUGCUUACGUUAUACAUCGGUUAUUAUUACCUGCUACUUUAUUGUUCAAUCUUGAGUUUUGAAUAGCCCAUGGGUCUCAUAUCGAGCCAACAACGAAUAGUAUAUGUCUACUAUCUGGUUCAUCUGGGGUCUUCUAUGUGGUUCAUGUUGGGUGGGCAACAAACAAUAGAUGAUCCAUUGUCUAUCUUUUUAAACUAAAGCUAUAAUCGACCUGCUAUCAUUAGUUUUGGAUCCAUCCACUCGUUUGCUACCACCAGUCUUGAUUUUUGCAUGCACCCCUUAGGCCUUACAAAAUCUAACUGUUUUUUUAUUAUGCAUGUCAGAUAUUGUACACAAUUGUACUGAACAUGUAGAGAAAAAGAGAAGACCGUUGCGUGCGAAUAUAAUGUCAUGCAGACGCCGCUCCAUGGUGGGCGAAGUGCCACCCCCCCCCCCCNNNNNNNNNNNNNNNNNNNNNNNNNNNNNNNNNNNNNNNNNNNNNNNNNNNNNNNNNNNNNNNNNNNNNNNNNNNNNNNNNNNNNNNNNNNNNNNNNNNNNNNNNNNNNNNNNNNNNNNNNNNNNNNNNNNNNNNNNNNNNNNNNNNNNNNNNNNNNNNNNNNNNNNNNNNNNNNNNNNNNNNNNNNNNNNNNNNNNNNNGAGGAAGAUAACUGUUCAGAUGGAGAUUCAGAUGGAGCCAACCAUGCCUGUUUACCACCUGAGGUGUUUGCUCUAACCUGGCAUGCUGAUGUUGGUCAUAUAAUGCAUAUGGCGCCUUGCAUUGCUUACAUUAUACAUCUUAUAUGUCAUCAGCUUAGUUUAGAUUUGCUUUGUGUGAAUGCCGCUUGUUUGGUUUCUAUAUCAUACUCCCACCAUUCCUAAAUAUUUGUCUUUUUAGAGAUUUCAACAAGUGACUACAUACAGAACAAAAUGAGUGAAUCUACACUCUAAAAUAUGUCUAUAUACAUCCGUAUGUGGUAGUCCAUUUGAAAUAUCUCAAAAGACAAAUAUUUAGGAACGGGGGGGAGUAUAUGGGAAUUAUGCAAUGCCAUCUUCUUUAGCCAGGCAUCAUAUACGUGAAUCAUGCAAUGCCAUCCUGUUUAGCCAGUCAUCGUAUAUGUGAAUUGUAUCGUGCCAUAUUUUUUUCCAUAAUGUAUUCCAUUUGUCAGCAAUGUUUAUACAUUCAUCUACUCUUCCUGUGCAUCAGCCAUUUGAGUCGGUCACGGGAAAAUCUGGAGUGAAAACAAGGUCUUCUGAGCAGUCAGUGCUACAUGUCGAUGUAGAUUUCUUGUUGGUUACAGAUAGCUGCUCAGAGGAGGAUUCAGAGAGAGAUGACCAGUCGUAUCCCCCCCCCCCGAGGUGCAUGCUCUAACUUGGCUGGGUUAUAUUGCUCAUAUCAUGCAUAUGGUGUCUUGCAUUGCCAUGCCAUCUGCUUAGAUUAGACAUGCUUUGUGUGAAUGCCUCCUGUUUGCUUUCUAUAUCAGAUAUGUGAAUUAUGCAAUGCCAUGUUUUUCAGCCAGUUAUCAUAUAUGUGAAUUAUGCACCGCCAUGGAGCCAGGCAUCAUAUAUGUGAAUUAUCUCAUGCCAUCUUUUUAUUUCAUUUCGUAUUCCAUUUGUCGACAAUCUGUGUAUAUUGAACUACUCUUCAUGUGUAUCAGCCAUUUGAGUCGGUUAUGGAAAAAUCUGGAGUGAAAACAGGUCUUCAGAGCAGGCAAUGGUACCUGUUGAAGCAUAUAUCUCGAUGGUUACAGGGAGCUCCUCAGAGGAGGAUUCAGAGACAGAUGACCAGUCCUAUAUCCCACCUGAGGUGUAUGCUCUAAGUUGCAAUGUUUAUAUUUCUCAUAUGAUGCAUAUGGUAUCUUGCAUUACUUAGUUUAGACAUCAUAUGCACAAUAUUGAAUUCUUCUGCUUAGUUUAGAGAUCAUACAUGUGAGUGCCAGCUACUUAGUAUAUGAAUCAAUUAUGUCAAUUAUAUCAUGCCAUAUUGUAUACUUAGACAACAUGUAUGUGAAUUAUUUCAUCCCAACCUAUUUUAGAAAGACAUCAUAUAGUUUUGUCGUGUCAUCCUGUUUAGGUACUAAUCAUAUGUUGAAUUAUGCCAUUAUAUCUUGUUAAGUUAACCAUCAUAUAUCUGAAACUGUGUCAUGCUAUCCUGUUUAGUUAGGCAUCAUAUAUGUGAAAUUGUGUCAUGUUGUCCUGUUUGGUUAGACAACAUAUAUGUGAAUUACCACAUCUGUCUGUCAUACAAUGUCUGUACGUUCAAUUUCUUUUCUUGUUUAUCAGCCAUUUGAAUUGGAGGGGGUGAUUGCAGUAUCUAAGGGAGCAAAACCCCAUUCUUCACAAAAGACAGUGCUACCCGUCGAUGCAGAUAGAACCAUGGUUGUACUGGCCCACAAACUAGCCCCACCACACAUAAUUGAGACUCUUCCACGUUGCACACUUACACUGUUGGGCAGAGAACCAGCUACAACCCAUCUAACCGAAACCCCAGCGGAUAGUAACCAACUUAUAGUUGACAAAGCACCAUGUCCACCACAGAGUACCCCCACACAAGCAGUUUGUAAAGCUACUGCAGUGCCCAAAGCACGAAGACUACCACAGCUAACCCAAACUCCAUGUUUAAAGCAGAAGAGCAACUGUUCUCGGGUCAGAUUCCGUAGCUAUGGUCCAUACUCCUUUGCUGUUACAUCACUGUAUUUACUCAUACCAACUACUUUCGAAUUUGAAGGAUCCAAUUGAAACUCCAAUGGCGCAACAGGUAUGUUUUAAACCUAUUUCUUUAACUGGAUUGUUGUUCUAACUUCUUGCUCUAUGUUGAUUUCAGUUUAAGUUGUAUAAACAGUUAUGUUCUCAUGUGAUGCACAUUACAAGUGCUGCCAAUGCUGUGUAUUUUCUCACACUUAUAUUCUGUCUAUGCUGUUGUGUCUUAAAAAUAUAUGAGUUGAACUGUGUCUCUAUCUUGAUUAGGGAACAUAAACUAGAAUGAUAUGGACAAUACAGUGACCAUAGUACAUAGAUAUAUGUUUGUUUCAUGUUGUUAUCCUGUCCACCUUACUACUGAACCAUUUUAUCAAAAUGAGUUUCGUAUACCACAAGCUAAACCUGUGAUGUGUCUGCUUGUUUCUCUUGUAGUAUGCAAACAGAAUAUUGGAGAAGAGCACCCCACUAUGCAAUGGUAGAGAAAGUAAUGAAGAUAAGGUUUAAGAUAGUGAGACAACCCUGUUGGUCUCCAAGAAAGGUGAUAAAAAUGAUCUUAUAGACAGUGAGAAAACCCCACAGUCCUGCAUUGAUGUAGUGUUCGAGUUACUGGCCAGUACCGCUGGCACAAGCUCUUCGAACUCGCUGCCUGAAUCACUUCGACUUCUUCAGUCUCAGCUACAAGCUGAAAGGCAUCAGUCAGCUAUGCUGCGGCAAGAAGCCGAAGGACUGAGGAAGUCCCUGCAGAAUUCAGAUGCGUACUUUCUUGUGCAACAGCAAGUGCUGGAGGAUUUAAGCGCCAAACAAGAGAAAGUUAAUAAGCUUGCUAAGCAUCUUGCCAGCAUUAUGGGUACCCAGGAUAUUGUUUCUUGAACUCUUCUAAAGUGGUUUCAGUUCUGGACUUGUUUUGCUGCGGCGUUUAUAUGCUGCUUUGUUCCCUAUAUUUUCACUGGUGGCGAACUUUGAUGCCCAGUGGAUGUAAUAUGUGUAAUAGCUGUGAUAGCCUAGCAUAAGUUGUUUGCUUAUUUAUUUCCUUGUUGUCUUGUUUAUUUGUUUGCUUGUAGUCAGUGCAGUUCUUUUUCCACGGUUUGCUAGUGGCUGCAACAACCUAUUUUUUAAAACUAGGCCACAAUAACCAUGGGGCUAAUAUUUAAUGUAGUGACACUAGGCCUCCUAUGGGCCAUAGAAAUAGUGGGCCUUCUACGGGCCGUAGAAACAGUUGGCCUUCUACGGGCCAUAGAAACAGUUGGUCUUCUACGGGCCAUAGAAAGAAUGGGCCUUCUACGGGCCGUAGAAACAAUGGGCCUUCUGCGGGUCGUAUCAUCAAUGCGCCUUAUACGGGCCGUAUGAUCGAUUGGCCAAACAUGGGCCAAUAAAAGGCCGCAUUAUGGUCGUAAACGGGCUAGAGUUGGAAUCGUCCGUUCAUGGGCCGACCAUAACGGGACAUCAUUAAUAGGCUGUAUUUGAUGACACUAUGAAAAUGGCCCAACGUAUUAACGGACCACAAAUGGGCCGACUAUAACCACGGGCUGAAUUUGGCCCACAAGCAGAAAAUGACAGUAACAGGCCGUAAGUAAAUGAAUGCUGGAAAUGAGCCCACGAGUAAAUGGGCUCUGAGAAGGCUGAAAGAUAACAUGGGCUGGAAACGGCCCAACAGAAUAAUGGGCCGUUAAUGGGUAUAAAGUGAUACACUGUUCAUUACGGGACAGUUUCUCCACGGGCCGUUAAUGGGUGUAAAGUGAUACACUUUUCAUUACGGGCCAGUUUCACCACGGGCUGUUAAUAGGCCAAGAGUUACAUAGGGCCUCAUAUGGGACGAAAGACGUCAUGGUCCAUACAUGGGCCAGAAGUGAAAACGAGCUGGAAUCAUAUUGGAUGGCCCAGAUGACGCUACUGGGCCUAAUUCGGAUAGGGCGUAACGGGCCUUGGGUUAGCGGGCUGUAAAUGGGCUAUAUGCGAACAUGCCGUUAAUAGGCUUUCCAUGGGCCGGCCCACCACCUUUUGACCAAGUCAAACGGGCCGGCCUUUUCACAGGAAUGGGCCUCUAUUGGGUCGUGCCACGUGUCGACGUAUCAUAGGCGCCUUCUGUCCAAUGAGUGGAUGACAUCUGUCCCAACAAUGAGCCGACACGUGUUUCCUCCAGCCAAUGAUGAUUUUACACAUGGAAAAUCCCCAUUGGUCGGGGCUGUUAACGGGUUAUCGGAUCCAAAACCCGACCCGAUAGCUUAACGGCGUUCCGUUAUGGUGGAUGCCACGUGUCGGUCACCCUUGACGAAAGCACUUCUGUGACACGCGGUUUAUUGUUAUGGAAGUGCACACUUCCAUGAUGAUAAUUUUGGUAAUGUCAUGGAACACUUCUACGACAGCACAGGUAUGACUAUCUUAAUUCUGUCAUAAAAUCGUCAUGGAUGUACAUGCAUGACAAAAAACGCGACCUACUGUGACAAACACGUAUCAUCACGGAAGUGUAUUUUUUGUAGUGUUAAUAUCCGGUUAUGUGGCAGAUGGGAAUUUGUUAAUACCCGAUUGUAGAGAACUUGACACCAGAUUCAAACUAAAAUAAACCAACCGCGUGUGUAACCGUGACCGUCUCUUUUCGAGUGAUUUCGGGAAGAGAACAUGGUUGGGUUAUGUUUGGACAUAAGUAGUUCAGGAUCACUUCUUGAUCAUUACUAGUUUGCGACCGUUGCAUAGUUUCUCAUCUUAUUCUUGUACUCAUAAGUUAGCCACCAUAUAUUGCUUAGUCGCUUGUUGCAACCUCACCACUUGUCCUUUCCAUACCCAUUAAGCUUUGCUAGUCUUGAUACCCAUGGUAAUGGGAUUGCUGAGUCCUUGUGGCUCACAGAUUACUAUUACAACAGUUGCAGGUACAGGUAACGCGAUGAUCAUGAUGUGAGAGCGAUGUUUACUUGUUUUGGAAUUCUUCUGCUUCUUCUUUGAUCAAGGGAUAGGUUCCAGGUCGGGGAGCCUGGGAUUAGCAGGGUGGAUGUCGUUCUUCUCUUUCGUUUGAUUUCAGUCGUAGUUGGAUCCUGCUCUUUUGUAUGUUGAUUGCUAUGUAUUGAUGAACUGUUGUAUUCAUGUUGUAGCUUGUGGCGAGUGUAAGCCUUCAACUUGUAUUCUCAUCUAUUCAGUACAUGGUAUGUUGUAAUGAUAUCCACCUUGCUAUGUGCUUGAAAUGCGAUUGUGCCCCGAUCAUGAAUUCAUCACGUGAUUGGGAUAGAAUCGCAUCUUGGGCGCUACAUCAACUCCAUAUAUUAUUUCCCAUUGAUCUAUGGUUAUCCUAGGAUGUUUGAGUAGAUCCAUUUUGUCCUAUGGGUUAACCGUGAUCUUGGUUGGUAUGAUUGUAUAUUUUAUUUAUGGUGUUGUCCUAUGGUGCCCUUCGUGUCGCGCAAACGAAGGGGCCCCCGUUGUAGGGUGUUGCAAUAUGUUCAUAGUUUGCUUAUUGUCGGUGUUGCGGGGUUGACAGCAGCCUAAACGCGCAUAAACGGGUUAUGGCGUAUGGGAGUAAAGAGUACUUGAUACUUAAUGCUAUGGUUGGGUUUCACGACCUUAAUGAUCUUUAGUAGUUGCGGAUGCUUGCUAGAGUUCCAAUUAUAAGUGCAUAUGAUCCAAGUAGAAAAAGUAUGUUAGCUCAUGCCUCCCCCUCAUGUAAAAUAACAAGAAUGAUUACUGGUACUUGUUAUCGAUUACCUAGGGACAAAUGACUUUCUUGUUGAAAAAAUCUAUCCACUUUUAUUACCUUGUAAUUUAUUCGUAGUUUUAUUCUCGCAAAGUACUCGUAGUUUUAUUCUUGCAAAAUAGUUUCAUACUUGUUUUAUGUAAAGCAAACGUCAAGUUUGCGUAGAGUUGUAUCGGUGAUCGAUAGAACUUGAGGGAAUAUUUGUUCUACCUUUAGCUCCUCGUUGGGUUAGACACUCUUAUUUAUCGAAGAAGGCUACAAACGAUCCCUAUACUUGUGGGUUAUCAAAGUCGCACGCGUCCCGUCGAGCCUAUGCGGCAGACUACUCGCACGCGUCCCGUCGAUCCUGCACGGCGGACUUCUCGCGCUCGUCCCGUCUAAUCAAAUAGCUUUACGCACGCCAUCGAGUAUGGUUAAAUUAUGGCACAAAAUACAAAGAUGACCAAUGAACGAGGACCGAGGUAGUACUAUCCCAUAAGAAAAGAGGGAUGUGUGGCUGCAGCUAAAUGGUUACGGGAACACACAUGAUUCAUAUAAUAGAACCGUUUGCAAUAUUAAUGUGUCAGCUAUUUGUUUCAGAAGGACUUCGUUGGCUAUUAAUGUGUGCGCCUUGUCUCAAACUGGACGAUGUUUUUACCAUGACAUAUAUGUGCAUGCCAUGUCAUGAAACCAUGCCAAGUUUCAUGUUUUUGGGGUGAGUUUUUGGUUUACUGGGAUUUAAAAACCGAGAUUCUCAAUGUUUCAGGAGGACGAGACAUUUGUAAUUCAUUCUCAUUCCUUCAAUGAGACCUAAACAUGCAGCCAAUGACACAUGUACUAUUUUCCACCCAUUUUGCUUCACUAGAGCAUGUUCUUGUAGUUCAAAUUUGAAUUAUGGACAACAUUAAGUGCAUAGAAAACUAAAUUAAUAUAUAAAAUGUCCAAACAAACCCUGGGCAGUUUCAAAUUUCAGCACGACACUCCUAUUAUUCUAUGUUGCCUGUAGAAAACUAAAUCCAAGGCGAGAAGAGGCAGCGAUUAUCGUUUCGCCCACAAGAGGGGCAUGUUUCCCUACCGGAACCAUGAGGUUGUGAGAAGCUUCGGUUUGUAAUAGGCUUGUAAUAUAGCUUGGCCCAAGUUGGACAACUUUUUUACCACGACAUAUUGUGCCAUGUCGUGAGACCAAGCUAAGUUUCAUGAUUUUCUUGUGAGUUUUGGAUUUAUGGAGAUAUAAAAACCGAGAUUCACAAUGUUUGAGGCUGAGCCAUGAUGUCGAGAUAGUUUAAUUCACUCCCAUUCCUUCCAUAAGACCUAAACAUGCACCCCAAGGACACAUGUACGAUUUUUCUAGCCAUUUUGGUGGACUGGAGCAUGUAUUUGUAGUUUAGAUUUGAAUUGUGGAGAUUAAAUGGCUAGAAAACUCAAUUAAUGUAUAAAAAAGGUCAAACGAACCCUGAAUAAUUUCAAAGUUUAGCGCGAAUCUCCCAUUGUUCGAUGUUGCAUGUAGAAGAAAAUACAAGGCUAGAAGAGGGAGCGAUUAUCAUUUCGCCCACAAGGGGACACGUUUCCCUAUCAAAACCACGAGGGUUCUUGCGAGAGGCUCCGAUUUGUAAGAGGUUUGUAAUAAAGCUUGGCCCAAAUAGGUCAAUGUUUUUACCACGACAUAUAUGUGCCAUGACGUGACACCAUGCCAACUUUCAUGAUUUUCUGGUGAGUUUUGGAUUUACAUGGAUUUAAAAAUCAAGAUUCCAAUUGUUUGAAGACGAGCCAAGACGCCGGUACGGUUGUAAUUCAUUCCCAUUCCUUGCAUGGGACCUAAACAUGCGUCCAAGGACACAUGUAUGAUUUUUCUAGCCAUUCUGGUGAACUAGAGCAUGUAUUUGUAGUUCAAAUUUGAAUUAUGAACAUUAAAUGCCUAGGAAACUCAAUUAAUGUAUAAAAAGGCCAAACGAACCCUGAAUAAUUAUAAAUUUUAGCACGGAUAUCCUGUUGUUCCAUGUUGCCUCUAGAAAAAAUACAAGGCGAAAAGAGGCAGUGAUUAUCAUUUCGCCCACAAGGGGGACACGUUUCCCUAUCGGAACCACGAGGCUUCUUGAGAGAAGCUCCGGUUUGUAAGAGGCUUGUAAUAAAACUUGCCCUUAAAUGGACAAAAAAAAUCCACGACAUAUAUGUGCCAUGUUGUGACACCUUGCCAAGUUUCACGAUUUCCGGGUGAGUUUUGGAUUUACAAGGAUUUAAAAACCGAAAUUCUCAAUGUUCGAGGCCAAGCCAGACGCCGAGACGGUUGUAAUUCAUUCUCAUUCUAUGCAUGGGAACUAAACAUGCAUCCAAGGACACAUGUAUGAUUUUUGUAGACAUUUUGGUGCACUAAUUUGAAUUAUGCACAUUAAAUUAAUGCUUACAAAUCUUAAUUAUAAUUUAUAAAAAAGGCCAAAUGAAUUAUGCACGCUACCGUUCCCCGCCACUCCUCCCAUUGGUUUCCCGCUUCUUCUCCCAUCGGUUUCCCGCUGCCAGUGUUAGUGCUCAUGGAAGGCUAGGUUGCGACACACCGGCCAUGUAAAUAUUGCACACAGUUUCUAAAAGCACAAACAUGUGUGAUAGCAGGGAGUAAGUCCCAUAGGUUGACCGGCGUGAAACGCCUUAAAGGCAAGUAGGCAAUUCUCAUCAGCAAGGGGCAGCUUCCCAUCCGCUAACCUAGUCGAAUAGAACGCAAAAGUUAAGCGUGCUGGGGCUGGAGUAGUCUAAGGGUAGGUGAAGUUGCAUAUCUCAAGCUUCAUUUAAACGCCAUGAUACAGUCAUUAUAGACAUUUAUCAUCUAGAUGUAUCUAUAGUGAUCUGUCAUGACGAUUAUAUAAACCUUGGGAUCCUUGUUUUGCUAAUUUAUGGAAUAUGUUUUUUAUUGGUUAUUUUUUGUUCUGAAAAAUCGAAGAAUGAUCGACAUCUGUAGGCCUACACUAAUUAUCCCUUUGACCCAACGCACGACAAGGGGUUCCUCUUUGCUCUGUGUGAUAUGUUAGAGCAGAUCAAAUUUCAGCACAUGCGUUGGAUGACACCCCUACCCCCCACCUGCCCCGAAGAUGCGGAACCAACAUCGUACGUCUUUAAGAUGGCUAGGGGGUAUGAUGUUCAUUUUUUGAUGUUACUGAUGUAGUUGGUGCCCCAUCGAAGUUGUGCAUUCAAGAUUUGAACAAAUCACACACCAGACCCAUACAUUUUUUUCGGGCCGCAUGCAGGGUAUAGGGGGCCGGGUGUUCUGAUCGAGCAUGUCUCCCUUGUGCGGUUUAUAGACGUCACACAUAUCUGUGGGCUCCCCGAGGUCAAUAUCAUCCUUGACCAAUAAUGAGAGGGGCCCACAGAAUCUAUCCCUUUGACCCAACAUAUGAGAAGGGUUUGACCAUGAUGGUUUCCUGUUGCUAUGUGUGCCAUGUUAGACAAAAUAAAGUUUGAGUGCAUGCGUUAGACCUGGCUUGGGGUUGGGUACGGUGUUCGGUUUGUAAUGUAGUUGGUGCCCCAUUGAAGUUCUGCAUUGGUGAUUUGAACACAUCACACACCACCCAUACAUAUUUUUGAGCCGCAUGCAGUGUAUAGGGGGUGUUCUGAUCGGCCACGUCUCCCUUCUGCGGUUAUUUGUGACGACACGCAUAUCUGUGGGCUCCCCGAGUGUAUAUAUAUAUCAUCCCAUUGACCGAUAACGAGGGGUAUGUGUUGGCCAUUAAUGGAUUCCUCCUAGUAUUUGUUAGGGCCGGUCACUGUCACAUGUCGUUCAAGCAAAGUUCGAGUUCAUGCGUUGCCAGGAUUCCCUCCCACACGCUCGGAUUGGUGGGUUCGACCGACACCGCACGAUGUGUAUCUCAUCCUUAAUUACCUUGCUUUCAUGGUUUUUGUCUGUAUCGAGAGGCAGGCGCCACAUCUAAAUUGUACAUUAUUCGAUAUUGAGAACACACAUCACCCCUUCCAACAUACAUCAUUUUGGGCCGCAUGCAGGCGGUGCUGGUUUUGUGGUCCCUCUCGUGUGAUUUUUUAUGAUGGUUCAAUCUAUUAGCCCAAGCGGUAUAUAUAUACAGCCUGUCUAUUCUGCUAAUAUUAGCAGAAUAACUAUUCUGAUAACACUUCUGCACUACACGCUCAACGCGAGGGCACUGCACUUUCAGUAGCAGGGGUACUGCAAUAUAAAGACUAGUGAACUUCGUGUCGGAAAAAACUGCACGCGGUGUUUUUUCGGUACUUUUUGGCUCUGCUUUUUAACCGUUUAUCGGAACGAGGCGUGUAAUAUACCGUUGAUAAGCUAUGGAUUAGGCGCAACUUCUCCAUGUUGAACACUUUUUGACAUUCCUCAUGGUUUAAGGGCAGUUUUGAAAACGGUGUGGCGCACACAAUUUUUUUCUAAACCGCUCGUCGGAAUGAAGCAAAUGAUACACUGUUGGAAAGAUAUCAUCUAGCCGCAUCCUUUUCAUAUCUAUCAUUUUCUCUAAUUCGUUACGGUUUAAGAGCAAUUUUAAAUUUAGCAAAUCGCGGAAUUCUGGUUUUUGGAAUUUUUUGCAAUAUUCAUAAUGUUUUCGCUCCAAUUUUUGAACCAUUUAUCUAAACGAGGCGUGGGAUACGCCUUUGGAAAGCUACGGAUGAGGCGCAACUUUCAUAUGUUGAAAUUACUGUGAGAUUCCUUAUGGUUUUUAGUUAAUUUUGAAAAUCGUGCAGCUGACAACGAGAGGCAGCGGCCGUUUUUCAUGAUAUUUUUACAAACGGCUGGUCGAAAUGAUUCCAACGUUAUGCCGCUGGAAAGAUAUCGCCGAGACGCAAUUUUUUCAUGUAGAACACUCUCUCUAAUUCCUUACGGUUUAAGAACAGUUAUAAAAUAAGAAAAUGUGAACACUCUGUUUUUCGCGACACCAAAAGCGACGAGUGAACCACAUCAGACACAUGAACGCACUGCUUCAGACUGAAAACCGCACUGCAUCGGACGGGCAAGCGAGCUGCAUGGUUCUUGUACUCCUUUUAUAUUUUAUUUUUAUGAAGAGUUCUUUUUUAUAAUUGAGAGUGGGCCGCAGAGAUGAGGCCAAGUGAACCACGUCAAGAGGAAAAGUGAAACGCAACACGUUUUUGUCAUUUUUUUUACUUUUUUUAUAAAUGCAUCCGAGCUGCAUGGUGAGAGCUAGUGAGCUUCAUCCUUUUUGGUCUUUAUUAUAUUUCUUUUUUAUUUAUCCUAUUUUUUGUUUUCUCUAAUUUCAUUUGAUUAACCUAUUUGGACGAGGGAGAGUGUAAACUGCAUGUUGUUUGUUCGAAAAGAGCCAAAACGCACUUCAUUAAUUGGGAAACAUAUUUUCUUUUUAUGAGAAGUGGACCGUAGAGUCCCUCGAAGUGCACUGCAUUAUACUUUUCCGUUCUUUUUUCGAGCUGUUUUGCCAAAGUGGGCAACUUUUGCAAUUAACACAGAUGUCCUUCAAUAUGUAAACAAAAAAGUGAACGACAAAAAUCGGAGCGUUGCUGCAGUCGGUGCUGACAGUACGGAAGUGUACUGCUUGGGGAGUUGGCGAUGGCCCGGUGAGUCUGAUGGUAAAAAUAGGUCCAGUGGCAGUGUGAGCCGGGCCAUCCCGGAGGCGGAGUUCACUUUUUCUCUUUUUUGUUGUUGUUUCCCCAUCUCCUCCAAAAGCAAACUGAACCGUAAGAACAACGGAUAGCAAAUUGCAGUGCACCGAAGAUUUCCAUCCAAAAAACAAAAAAGUGAGUCUAAAGUGUACUCAUGAUAGUAGCGAACCACAGCAAAAAACACUGAACUCCACGCUGAUGUUUUUGCUCCCAAACCAUGUAUGCAUACUCGGUAUCCGUCCAUGCCCAGACUGCGCACACACAGCCAGACUCUGAAUUUCAUUGGCGCACUUCACAAACUGCACGGGAGCUUGCGUGUGGUAGAGCAGUGGGUGUCCUCAUCUUCCCGAUUUGACGCUGAGCAGUGGGUUUCCUCGUCUUCCCGAUUUGACCCUGAGGAUGAAGAACAAAGUGGCAUGACUUCAUGGGACAACAGUAGUUGCUUCAAAAGCCUGCAGCGGUGAGGAAUUGGUCCGGAGAGAAAAAACUAAGGCCUCUUUUGGUUC